GUUUCCAUGAUUUCCUCACUAAUUUAUUAUCCGCAUUGUUGCGGAACAUUCCACACGAUCGUCGCACAUUGUAAUAAAUGUCACGGCACCGCUAUUUCAAAAUAUGGAAACCAAACGAAAACACGCGCGAAUUUUAGGAAAUAAUCGCGGAAACCGCUUCUCGUUCGCGUCAGAAUCGACAACCGCCGUUCCAAGCAGCGAUAUUCACGCCGCAACACACCCUAAAAUAAAUUGUUUUCAAUUUACAAUUGCAAUUAACAAUAAUUUAAAUGGACGGACGCGCACUCCGGAUCGCGGUUGGCACAGACGGUUUCAAAACAAUUGGUGUAUCAACACGCCAGCUCAGUCGCGGGAACUUCUAAUAAACAAUCCGAUAGUGCGAGUUGAAAUGUACCGGAUUCCGGAAUUCAAAGCGUUCAUUGCGAUUUUUUAGUGGGUCAAGGGACGAACAAAGGAAAGUCUAGUCCCUUUAUAUUAUGAUGAUAAUCAAAAAGCUAAUGGUUAUAAUACCACCACUAUUUAAUUUAUUAUAAUUCAUAUUUUCCGCAGGCCGUAAAAGAUUUGAAGAUACUCGCUAUGCAGAAUUUUUCAUUUCACAAGCUUUUUUGGUCGGAAAUGUUUAUUUACCCCUCUAUUUAUCCUUUUUCUUACAUAUUUUCGUUUCUAUGUGCAAUGCGCAAUUUUAGCAUUUAAAACUAGUGUUCUUCAACUAAUAAAACUCAAAUUGGGAAAACUGUUGCGAAACAUUGUGUAAAUAAUACUAACCCCUAUUACAUAAUACGAUAUCACAUUAAUUAUCAUAAUGAAGAAAACUUUUAAUAAGGUUACUAUUUAAAGAUUUUUAAAUUUAGAAAUGAAAAAAAAAACAAUUCCCAUGGUUCACGCAACACUCAAACCAAACCUGAAAAUUGGUUGGAAUCUUAGGAACAAAUAUAAAAUGAUAAAUAAAAUAGUAAUUCCAUGCUUUAACUGUUCCGGAGUGAUGUCACCCAAGACGAUAUCGAGAACGUGACCCAUUAAAAAAAAUGAGACCCUGUACCUUAAAGACUUUCAGGGCACAUUGUUCAUGUAUAUGAACUUUUCUACCUGAAAUUACAGACGACUUCAAUUCCUGUUAAAUCACCGCUAAGUUUAAAAUUAUUAACUUUAUAAGGUCAUUUUCGUAUUUGUAUAUUGAAGGGUUUGUAUCAAAAACUCUGUGUUUUGUCUAAUAAAACAUAUCCCUAGUCUGUUGUGGCAACUGAAAUAGUAUCAGCAUUAGUAAUAAUUCCUAAGUCAAUAUUUAAAAUUUUACAGUUAUAGUUAUGAUUAUGUUAUAAAUUUAUUUUCUAAUAAAAAUGUUUUUAAAUUCUUACAUCUCCUGAAGCAUAUCCAAUAUUUGUACUCAUAAAUAACAUUAAAUAAAAAAUCCCUCAAUCUAAUUUAUAAAUUUGCAAAAUACUCGUAAUGAGAGUCAUUUGGAAGCCCACUAGUAGAGUUUCCUCGGUUAGUGCACACGACCGGGUAGGGGAAAAUUCACUUUAAUUAGUAGAAUACGCUGAAGUGGCGUGAUUCACUUAAGGCGGCUCAUAAUAGUAUAUCGUAUUUUUGUAAAAAUAUGUCUUUUAUUUUAUUCUAAGCACUGAAAGCAUAUUGACAAAAUUCAGGGAGUUCGAAGAUUAUUUAAUUUAAUCUACUUUUAUAUAUCAGAAUCGUAUUAUUUAAUAUUUCUGAACCCAGGUCACCUUUUCAUAUCCAGUUGUGGGUGGAUAAACUUCUAUUGUUGUCAACAGUUUGUAACGAAUAUAGAGCUAGUUUUAUGCGCGUGAAAGUAGAAGUUAGAACAGCAUAGUUUAACGGGGCCUAAGAGAAAUAAGCAAUGCUUUUCGCUAGCUGAAAGGCCAAUAAAAAUAAACAAAAUAGGCAUUAUAUUAAUAAGCAAAAUUUUUGAGGAGUAAGUCAGGAUUUCUAACUUAAGGCAAAAUUUCUGAGCCAAGUCGGAAUUUCUGAGAAAAAAAAAUGAAUUUUUGGAAAACGAGAAUUUCUGAAAAAUAGUCAGAUAUAUAGGGUAAUUCAUAAAUAAUGAAAAACUCAAUAUUUUUUCAGAUUUUCGCCAUGUUUCAACUCGACAGGUAAAAAAUAUGAUUCAAUUUAUCUAUAUAAUACAGUGACACUAGCGCCCCCUAGGAGCAACGUCCAAGUGUAACAUUCCAUAGCUUUCCAAAAUCAGUUGUUACAUGCAAAAAAUGGGUACAGUUGUGCAAUAGAAAUGACAAAUUUAAUAUUGCCUACAGCAGAAUUUGUUCAGAACACUUCCUGGAUGUGGAUUUUAAACGGGAUUUGAGAAAUGAAUUACUUGGGUUGCCAAUAAAGAAACGAUUAAAACAAGAUGCAGUACCUUCACAAAAACUUUUUGAGUUGGAACCUUCAGAACCAAAAAAUUCUAAAUUAUCAGUAAAUAGUGAGCAUCAAAUUUUUAAUAAGAAGAAAGUAGUGAUUGUUUCAAAUUUAUUAAGUGAGAAACAUGUAAUUUUAUCACAAUUUAAAGAUACUUCUGUGGACAUACAAACUCCAAUUGAACAUGUGGUUGAAGUAAAUCAAAUCACUGAUAAUUUAUUAGAAAAUGUAGAUGCAAACACCUCUCACACUCUUGAUACUCUUUCAAACGCUUCCACAUGUGAACAACUAUAUAAAGAACUAUUAAAAAAACAUAAAACACUUAAUAUUAGUAAUACAUUAAUUAAAAAAAAGUUAGAAAACAGAAAGAAACAAAUUAAAUUAUUAACUGAUCAACUAAGAUAUUAUAAAAAUUCAAAAUACACAAAAAAUAAAAGAAACAAAGUAUAAAAUAGAUGUAAUUAUUGGAUUCUUUAUUAUUAUUGAUUUUUAUUAUCUUUUGGGCUAUACUUAAGCAACAAACUCGUUAUUUUUUUGGAUUGUUUUGUUACCUAAUACUGUUUGUGUACUAGAUAUAGAUAAUAUAGAUAAAGAUAAUUAAUUAUAUUAAAAGAAAUGCAAUACCAUAAUGUAUUUCACUUUUUUCUAAGUGCUUAUUUCGUUUUUCCCACUUCCUACUGGUAAAAAACCUAAUUAUACAUCCAUCAAAUGUGAGGGAAAUGUCACUUUUAGUCAUCAGCUUUAUCAUAUCAAAGGCCGAAAGUCACUUCUAACAUUUUGUUUUUCGAAGAAACUUCCACAGGCUACUGUAAUACUUUUUAUAAAAUUUCUAGAUUCCUCCUGCGUCGGUUUUUGUUGAAUCGAGCUCUGAAGAAGCCAACAGGAUGAUUAGCGAGACGUUAGUUUUGGUUAGUUCAACUCA